rnacentral:tRNA from 1 species
GGGCUCAUAGCUCAGCUGGUAGAGCGACUCGUUUACACCGAGUAGGUCAGAGGUUCGAGUCCUCUUGAGCCCA